rnacentral:rRNA from 1 species
GGUUAAGCGACUAAGCGUACACGGUGGAUGCCCUGGCAGUCAGAGGCGAUGAAGGACGUGCUAAUCUGCGAUAAGCGUCGGUAAGGUGAUAUGAACCGUUAUAACCGGCGAUUUCCGAAUGGGGAAACCCAGUGUGAUUCGUCACACUAUCAUUAACUGAAUCCAUAGGUUAAUGAGGCGAACCGGGGGAACUGAAACAUCUAAGUACCCCGAGGAAAAGAAAUCAACCGAGAUUCCCCCAGUAGCGGCGAGCGAACGGGGAGCAGCCCAGAGCCUGAAUCAGUGUGUGUGUUAGUGGAAGCGUCUGGAAAGGCGCGCGAUACAGGGUGACAGCCCCGUACACAAAAAUGCACAUGCUGUGAGCUCGAUGAGUAGGGCGGGACACGUGGUAUCCUGUCUGAAUAUGGGGGGACCAUCCUCCAAGGCUAAAUACUCCUGACUGACCGAUAGUGAACCAGUACCGUGAGGGAAAGGCGAAAAGAACCCCGGCGAGGGGAGUGAAAAAGAACCUGAAACCGUGUACGUACAAGCAGUGGGAGCACGCUUAGGCGUGUGACUGCGUACCUUUUGUAUAAUGGGUCAGCGACUUAUAUUCUGUAGCAAGGUUAACCGAAUAGGGGAGCCGAAGGGAAACCGAGUCUUAACUGGGCGUUAAGUUGCAGGGUAUAGACCCGAAACCCGGUGAUCUAGCCAUGGGCAGGUUGAAGGUUGGGUAACACUAACUGGAGGACCGAACCGACUAAUGUUGAAAAAUUAGCGGAUGACUUGUGGCUGGGGGUGAAAGGCCAAUCAAACCGGGAGAUAGCUGGUUCUCCCCGAAAGCUAUUUAGGUAGCGCCUCGUGAAUUCAUCUCCGGGGGUAGAGCACUGUUUCGGCAAGGGGGUCAUCCCGACUUACCAACCCGAUGCAAACUGCGAAUACCGGAGAAUGUUAUCACGGGAGACACACGGCGGGUGCUAACGUCCGUCGUGAAGAGGGAAACAACCCAGACCGCCAGCUAAGGUCCCAAAGUCAUGGUUAAGUGGGAAACGAUGUGGGAAGGCCCAGACAGCCAGGAUGUUGGCUUAGAAGCAGCCAUCAUUUAAAGAAAGCGUAAUAGCUCACUGGUCGAGUCGGCCUGCGCGGAAGAUGUAACGGGGCUAAACCAUGCACCGAAGCUGCGGCAGCGACGCUGAUGCGUUGUUGGGUAGGGGAGCGUUCUGUAAGCCUGUGAAGGUGUGCUGUGAGGCAUGCUGGAGGUAUCAGAAGUGCGAAUGCUGACAUAAGUAACGAUAAAGCGGGUGAAAAGCCCGCUCGCCGGAAGACCAAGGGUUCCUGUCCAACGUUAAUCGGGGCAGGGUGAGUCGACCCCUAAGGCGAGGCCGAAAGGCGUAGUCGAUGGGAAACAGGUUAAUAUUCCUGUACUUGGUGUUACUGCGAAGGGGGGACGGAGAAGGCUAUGUUGGCCGGGCGACGGUUGUCCCGGUUUAAGCGUGUAGGCUGGUUUUCCAGGCAAAUCCGGAAAAUCAAGGCUGAGGCGUGAUGACGAGGCACUACGGUGCUGAAGCAACAAAUGCCCUGCUUCCAGGAAAAGCCUCUAAGCAUCAGGUAACAUCAAAUCGUACCCCAAACCGACACAGGUGGUCAGGUAGAGAAUACCAAGGCGCUUGAGAGAACUCGGGUGAAGGAACUAGGCAAAAUGGUGCCGUAACUUCGGGAGAAGGCACGCUGAUAUGUAGGUGAAGUCCCUCGCGGAUGGAGCUGAAAUCAGUCGAAGAUACCAGCUGGCUGCAACUGUUUAUUAAAAACACAGCACUGUGCAAACACGAAAGUGGACGUAUACGGUGUGACGCCUGCCCGGUGCCGGAAGGUUAAUUGAUGGGGUCAGCGCAAGCGAAGCUCUUGAUCGAAGCCCCGGUAAACGGCGGCCGUAACUAUAACGGUCCUAAGGUAGCGAAAUUCCUUGUCGGGUAAGUUCCGACCUGCACGAAUGGCGUAAUGAUGGCCAGGCUGUCUCCACCCGAGACUCAGUGAAAUUGAACUCGCUGUGAAGAUGCAGUGUACCCGCGGCAAGACGGAAAGACCCCGUGAACCUUUACUAUAGCUUGACACUGAACAUUGAGCCUUGAUGUGUAGGAUAGGUGGGAGGCUUUGAAGUGUGGACGCCAGUCUGCAUGGAGCCGACCUUGAAAUACCACCCUUUAAUGUUUGAUGUUCUAACGUUGACCCGUGAUCCGGGUUGCGGACAGUGUCUGGUGGGUAGUUUGACUGGGGCGGUCUCCUCCUAAAGAGUAACGGAGGAGCACGAAGGUUGGCUAAUCCUGGUCGGACAUCAGGAGGUUAGUGCAAUGGCAUAAGCCAGCUUGACUGCGAGCGUGACGGCGCGAGCAGGUGCGAAAGCAGGUCAUAGUGAUCCGGUGGUUCUGAAUGGAAGGGCCAUCGCUCAACGGAUAAAAGGUACUCCGGGGAUAACAGGCUGAUACCGCCCAAGAGUUCAUAUCGACGGCGGUGUUUGGCACCUCGAUGUCGGCUCAUCACAUCCUGGGGCUGAAGUAGGUCCCAAGGGUAUGGCUGUUCGCCAUUUAAAGUGGUACGCGAGCUGGGUUUAGAACGUCGUGAGACAGUUCGGUCCCUAUCUGCCGUGGGCGCUGGAGAACUGAGGGGGGCUGCUCCUAGUACGAGAGGACCGGAGUGGACGCAUCACUGGUGUUCGGGUUGUCAUGCCAAUGGCACUGCCCGGUAGCUAAAUGCGGAAGAGAUAAGUGCUGAAAGCAUCUAAGCACGAAACUUGCCCCGAGAUGAGUUCUCCCUGACUCCUUGAGAGUCCUGAAGGAACGUUGAAGACGACGACGUUGAUAGGCCGGGUGUGUAAGCGCAGCGAUGCGUUGAGCUAACCGGUACUAAUGAACCGUGAGGCUUAACCUU